rnacentral:rRNA from 1 species
CUCAGAUUGAACGCUGGCGGCAGGCCUAACACAUGCAAGUCGAGCGGAAACGACAACAUUGACUCUUCGGAGGGUUUGUUGGGCGUCGAGCGGCGGACGGGUGAGUAAUGCCUAGGAAAUUGCCUUGAUGUGGGGAUAACCAUUGGAAACGAUGGCUAAUACCGCAUAAUGCCUACGGGCCAAAGAGGGGGACCUUCGGGCCUCUCGCGUCAAGAUAUGCCUAGGUGGGAUUAGCUAGUUGGUGAGGUAAUGGCUCACCAAGGCGACGAUCCCUAGCUGGUCUGAGAGGAUGAUCAGCCACACUGGAACUGAGACACGGUCCAGACUCCUACGGGAGGCAGCAGUGGGGAAUAUUGCACAAUGGGCGCAAGCCUGAUGCAGCCAUGCCGCGUGUAUGAAGAAGGCCUUCGGGUUGUAAAGUACUUUCAGUUGUGAGGAAGGGGUUAACGUUAAUAGCGUUAUCUCUUGCGUUAAGCAACAGAAUUG